rnacentral:rRNA from 1 species
CCUACGGGCGCAGCAGUGGGGAAUAUUGGACAAUGGGGGGAACCCUGAUCCAGCCAUGCCGCGUGUGUGAAGAAGGCCCUCGGGUUGUAAAGCACUUUCAGUGAGGAAGAACGCCUGGUGGUUAAUACCCAUCAGGAAAGACAUCACUCACAGAAGAAGCACCGGCUAACUCCGUGCCAGCAGCCGCGGUAAUACGGAGGGUGCGAGCGUUAAUCGGAAUUACUGGGCGUAAAGCGCGCGUAGGUGGCUUGAUAAGCCGGUUGUGAAAGCCCCGGGCUCAACCUGGGAACGGCAUCCGGAACUGUCAAGCUAGAGUGCAGGAGAGGAAGGUAGAAUUCCCGGUGUAGCGGUGAAAUGCGUAGAGAUCGGGAGGAAUACCAGUGGCGAAGGCGGCCUUCUGGACUGACACUGACACUGAGGUGCGAAAGCGUGGGUAGCAAACAGGAUUAGAUACCCGUGUAGUC